GAGAUUAACUAGCAACAGAGAAAACAGAUUAACUAGCAGCAGAUGAUAGACGGUUGAUCUUUAAGUUCUUUCUCUGACCUUGGCAACAAAGAGGAGGUUUUUCAGUUUUAAUUUCCUGUUUGAAUAUACCAAGCCAGGAGGAAGCAACAGUUAAAAAGACUCAGCAGCAUUUCUAAGAGCACAAUGGAGGAUCCAGAGCCAUCGUGCCAUCAGGAACAGUGAGAAUUUUCUCUGCUUCCAGCUGAUGCUCCUCCUAAAUAGCUGAAAGGAAGGAAGACUCUUCUACAAAGUGGGAAGGUGGAAGAAAGAAGUCACGAGGGGGAAGAAUCCCCCAUCAUUUAAAAGCACUCGUUUUGGGAGAGGCACAGGGACUAUAGUCGACAGGACAAAUAUAUCACUUUUGCCAAGGAAUAUACUUCUGGUCAUGAUUUUCAGGAUCCGAUGCCAUGUCAUGCUAUUUACAAAUAGUAAUUAGAGACUGUCCACUUUUAACUGUGCCAUUUCUGCUGUAGAUCCAAAUGCACACAUGGUAUAAGGUUAUAUAAAUAUAUAUAUUUUUAAAAAUGAAAAGUUAUCUUACAUUCUUCAUUCAAACUGAGAUUCUGCAAAGACUUAUUCAAGUUCCUUGCUGUAGUGACUGCUCGAAUAUUUCCAUAGGAGCUGACAGAACGGAGUUUUGGAGUACAUGGAUUAUCUCGGACUGGAGUCAGACUUCCACCCUCUAUGGAGGCAAUAGAAAUAUUUAUUCCCGCAAAAUAGUAAACAAGUAACAGUUUCAAUUACCCUGGCUGACUCCUCUAGUGCUUGCAUCCUUUUUUUCCUAUCGUCUGGAUAAAAUCAAGUCUCCUCGAUGUAUGCAGUUACAAGUCAAAAUCAUAUAUGUAUAUAUAUUCUUUUAACAUGAUUAUUAUCUCCAUAAAUCACCAAUCCUCCUUUCUUUCUUUUAAUGAAAUUGCUCAGGUUGCAUUUUCUUGAGCUCAGAUAGAGAUGGGAGGUAAGGGACAUCACAAGCACCCUAGCACACAUGCUCUCAAAGGCAUUGAUUUUGCUUUCAUUUUUUUUUUGAACGGGGGGGGGGGGACAAAAAAAGCUUUGAGUGUAAAGAGGUGCUGAAGAAAUAAAACACUGCUUUACCACUGCUCUGCUCUUGGUAAUAUCUAAUCGAUGUGGAUGAAUACAGUUACUGAGGCACAGCAGAGAAUUCUUUAUAUCAAGGUCUGUAUAUGACAAUGAGGCAGAGAAACCUCCAUAUCACAGUUCUGCUGUUCUGCUUCAAAGGGGCAGUGAGUGAUGCCA